rnacentral:rRNA from 1 species
UCGGACCUGCCCGGUGAAUUUUUUAACGGCCGCGAGUAUUCUGACCGUGCAAAGGUAGCAUAAUUAUUAGCCAUAUAAUUGAAGGGUAGAAUGAAUGGUUUGACACCAAUACAACUGUCUCUUUACAAUUACAUAAAAUUUUAUCUGCAGUUGAAGAAGCCUGCAUUUGAAUAAAAGACAAGAAGACCCUAUCGAGCUUAAAAAAAACUGGUGGAAUAACAAACUUAAUCCUAACUUAUAAAUAAAUAAAUAGUCAACUACUGGAAAUUUUGGUUGGGGCGACCGGGGAACAAAAAAAGAAUCCUUUAUAAAAAUUUAGAUGCCCAAAUAAUGAUCCAGCAUUAUAUGAUUAAAGAAAUUAGU